GACGAACGCUGGCGGCGUGCUUAACACAUGCAAGUCGAGCGGAGCGGCCAACGGGCGAGUAACUCGUGAGUAACUGCCCCCCUCUCUCGGAUAACAGUUGGAAACGGCUGCUAAUACCGGAUAGUGGGGGAUGACUCGGGUCCUAUCAGCUUGUUGGUGGGGUAGUGGCCUACCAAGGCGACGACGGGUAGCCGGCCUGAGAGGGCGACCGGCCACAUAGGGCUGGGUUAGGGGCCAGUCUGAUACGGGAGGCAGGAGUGGAGAUCAUUGCGCGAUGGGGGGAGCGAGGAUGCAGCGACGCCGGGUGCGAAAUGACGGCCUUCAGGGUGUAAACCGCUUUCAGCGAAGACGCGGUAGUGGCAGAAGAAGCAACGGCUAACUACGUGCCAGCAGCCGCGGUAAUAC
rnacentral:rRNA from 1 species